rnacentral:rRNA from 1 species
UACAGAGGCCUCAAGCGUUGUUCGGAUUCAUUGGGCGUAAAGGGUGCGUAGGCGGUCGGGUAAGUCGGAUGUGAAAUCCUGGGGCUCAACCUCAGAACUGCAUUCGAUACUGCCUGGCUGGAGGAUUGGAGAGGAGAGUGGAAUUCACGGUGUAGCAGUGAAAUGCGUAGAUAUCGUGAGGAAGACCAGUGGCGAAGGCGGAUCUCUGGACAGUUCCUGACACUGAGGCACGAAGGCCAGGGGAGCAAACGGG